rnacentral:rRNA from 1 species
CUACGGGUGGCAGCAGUGGGGAAUAUUGCGCAAUGGGCGAAAGCCUGACGCAGCAACGCCGCGUGAGGGAUGAAGGCCUUCGGGUUGUAAACCUCUUUUAUCAGGGAAGAAGCGAAAGUGACGGUACCUGAAGAAAAAGCACCGGCUAACUACGUGCCAGCAGCCGCGGUAAUACGUAGGGUGCAAGCGUUAUCCGGAAUUAUUGGGCGUAAAGAGCUCGUAGGCGGUUUGUCGCGUCUGCUGUGAAAAUCUGAGGCUCAACCUCGGACUUGCAGUGGGUACGGGCAGACUAGAGUGCGGUAGGGGAGAAGGGAAUUCCUGGUGUAGCGGUGGAAUGCGCAGAUAUCAGGAGGAACACCAAUGGCGAAGGCACUUCUCUGGGCCGCUACUGACGCUGAGGAGCGAAAGCGUGGGGAGCGAACAGGAUUAGAUACCCGUGUAGUC